rnacentral:rRNA from 1 species
GACGAACGCUGGCGGCGUGCCUAAUACAUGCAAGUAGAACGCAGUUGCGAACGGGUGAGUAACGCGUAGGUAACUGCCUGGUAGCGGGGGAUAACUAUUGGAAACGAUAGCUAAUACCGCAUACUACCAGAUGGACCUGCGUUGUAUUAGCUAGUUGGUGGGGUAACGGCCCACCAAGGCAACGAUACAUAGCCGACCUGGGAGGGGGAUCGGCCACACUGGGACUGGGAACCGGCCCCGGCUCCUACUGGAAGCAGCAGUAGGGAAACUUCGUCAAUGGACGGAAGUCUGGCCGAGCAACGCCGGGGGAGUGGAGAAGGUUUUCGGAUCGUAAAGCUCUGUUGUAAGAGAAGCGGUAUCUUACCAGAAAGGGACGGCUAACUACGUGCCAGCAGCCGCGGUAAUUC